ACUGUGUGUUGUUGGGUAGGGGAGCGUUCUGUAAGCCUGCGAAGGUGGCCUGUGAGGGUUGCUGGAGGUAUCAGAAGUGCGAAUGCUGACAUAAGUAACGAUAAAGCGGGUGAAAAGCCCGCUCGCCGGAAGACCAAGGGUUCCUGUCCAACGUUAAUCGGGGCAGGGUGAGUCGACCCCUAAGGCGAGGCCGAAAGGCGUAGUCGAUGGGAAACGGGUUAAUAUUCCCGUACUUGGUGUUACUGCGAAGGGGGGACGGAGAAGGCUAUGUUGGCCGGGCGACGGUUGUCCCGGUUUAAGCGUGUAGGUGUGUGUUCCAGGUAAAUCCGGUUCACUUUAACACUGAGGCGUGACGACGAGGCACUACGGUGCUGAAGCAACAAAUGCCCUGCUUCCAGGAAAAGCCUCUAAGCAUCAGGUAACAUCAAAUCGUACCCCAAACCGACACAGGUGGUCAGGUAGAGAAUACCAAGGCGCUUGAGAGAACUCGGGUGAAGGAACUAGGCAAAAUGGUGCCGUAACUUCGGGAGAAGGCACGCUGACACGUAGGUGAAGUGAUUUACUCAUGGAGCUGAAGUCAGUCGAAGAUACCAGCUGGCUGCAACUGUUUAUUAAAAACACAGCACUGUGCAAACACGAAAGUGGACGUAUACGGUGUGACGCCUGCCCGGUGCCGGAAGGUUAAUUGAUGGGGUCAGCGCAAGCGAAGCUCCUGAUCGAAGCCCCGGUAAACGGCGGCCGUAACUAUAACGGUCCUAAGGUAGCGAAAUUCCUUGUCGGGUAAGUUCCGACCUGCACGAAUGGCGUAAUGAUGGCCAGGCUGUCUCCACCCGAGACUCAGUGAAAUUGAACUCGCUGUGAAGAUGCAGUGUACCCGCGGCAAGACGGAAAGACCCCGUGAACCUUUACUAUAGCUUGACACUGAACAUUGAGCCUUGAUGUGUAG
rnacentral:rRNA from 1 species